UCAAAAAAAAAAAAAAUUGCAUAAGCUGGGAUUCCAAGGUUAACAAAUGAAGCUGGAUUCAAAUUCUAGGUCUGUAUCUCUUUGGAGAAGUUUCUUAACUUCUCUGAACCUGUUUUAUUAUGAAGAUAUUAAUAGUGCCUGUCUCAUUUGGUUGGUGCAAGGUUUAAAUGAAAUAGCACUUGUAAUGCUCUUGGUACAGUGUCUUCACACUCAGUAAGAGUGAACUCUUUUUAUUACUAACUAUAGCACUAAUCAGUAAACAUGUUCUAAUUGGGCCUUAAUGUUGUCUACUUUUUUUUAGUCAGCUUCUAGAGAUGUGUCUCCUUUCGUGUGAGUAUUGCUCCUUAAUCCAAUCGGAUAUCCACUCUUAAAGAAGCAUCAAUGCUGAUUUUUGUUCAAUUUUUUCAAUAGUAUGAGUAUGCAGAAGAAUAAGUGGGAUGCCACAAGAUCCUUGAGAUUCAACCAGGAUGCACAAAGAGAAGACGAUCAACGGCGAAUGACUGAAAUUACAGGGCACCUAAUAAAAAUGAGAU
rnacentral:lncRNA from 10 species